rnacentral:rRNA from 1 species
UACGUAGGAUGCAAGCGUUAUCCGGAUUUAUUGGGCGUAAAGCGUCCGUAGGCGGUUUGUUGCGUCGGCUGUGAAAUCCCGAGGCUCAACCUCGGGUCUGCAGUCGAUACGAGCAAACUAGAGUGUUGCAGGGGAGACUGGAAUUCCUGGUGUAGCGGUGAAAUGCGCAGAUAUCAGGAGGAACACCGGUGGCGAAGGCGGGUCUCUGGGCAACAACUGACGCUGAGGCGCGACAGCGUGGGGAGCAAACAGG